CCGGGUCCCAAACGCUUCUCUCCUCCACGCGUGUAAACCGCAGAGUGCAGCGCGGUGCCAUCUCCCGCAACUCUUCGCAGGGCAGGACGGCUCCGGGACGGAGACGGCCGGGCGAAGCGCACGGCCAGGCCCCACUCCCCCGGUCCCGCGCCGCGCCACUCCUCCUCUCCUGACUCCGACUUGGCCAUAUGGAACCACCGGACCUCUCCGAGGAGCGGCCGGCAGAACCCGGUCUCCGCGUCCGCGACUAGCGCCUCGAGGGACCUUUGUCCGGGACGAAAACGAAAGCGCUCGGGCUGGGGGCGCCCACGCCCUGCCGCGGAGCUGCUGACAACAGGCAGAGCAGAGACGGCCCAAGCAUCGGUGACUUCACAAUGGGGUGGGUUUCAUUCUUUCCCGGAGGAAAGUCCAGGGUGGCCCUCUCAGACUCAAGGACUGUGGGGUCCAGAGCUGGAAGCCUAGGAAUUCUGUGUUCCUCCUUCCUCAGAAAAGGACACCCUUGUAGCGGCUUGAAUCUCGGGAAUGCCGUGCCCAUGUUAUGGCAAUAUGGCAGAAGAACAAUCCCUCCUGUCUAGCAGAGUCCUUUAUAAUUUUCUUCCCUAUUACAGUUCCUAGCCCCAACCUGGGCUGUGGGGUAAGAGAACAGGUUCCUACAAGCUGAGUAUGUGCCGGGCAGUCCGAAAGAGCCGCCCAGAGCCUCUCUCACCUCCCUCUUGCUCCGGCCACACCGAGGAAGAACCCAUUGCCAUCACACAUACACACACCCCGGUCCCCCUAUCUCUACCGUGUGGUUCAACUGCUUUAAAAACCACGUUAGACAUUCUGUGGUUGAGCAACUUUGGGGACUCCAGGACAAGAAAAUGCUUUUAGAGACUGGCUGAAUGCAGACAUCUAAACACAGUAUGUCUCGGGAUGUUUUAAUACCAAACCUUGUUUUUCCAAAAUAAUGAGCAAGCUCGGUUAAUGAUCGAACAGGGAUUUUGAAAAUAAAUAUAUGGUUACUAUUUUCA
rnacentral:lncRNA from 1 species